AGGAAAGGAUGAACAAAAGGUGAAACGACAAUUCCCCGGCUGCUGGUUGAGGCCCAGUGCAUGUUCACUCAUUGGAGAGUUUGCUACAUCAAGCCCGGAUUUGGAAGAAUUAAUGUAAAUUGAGAAGAAGAAACUCCAGCAAGUCUUACAUCAGAACUGAAGACAGACACGAAAGACCUGCAUCUUCUCUUCAAGAAAGCUGCUCUCUCUUGCUUUGCCAUUUACUAUCUUGAUGACAAUAAUCAAUCAUUACAUGAACUAUACUCCUCCUUUACUCCUGUGCUCAAAAAAAUGACAACAAGCCAUGAAAUAUAACAUUUAUUAAAAUGUUCAACUGGUUUUUAUAUUAAAGCUUACAAGCGUUUUCUGCUACGUUGCUAUUUUUUUUUUAUCAUAAGUUCCCUACAGUGAUUUAAAAUUGUUAUUUUGUACUUUGGCCGCAGUUCAGUAAAUAAAAACAAGUGUUUUGUAUUCAAAAUAAAAAGUUAAAUCCAGCCAUGGCUACCCUAAAUCAUGUUGGAGGCUAUUGUAGCUUGUUAACAAUUAAAGAAACAGAACAGAAUUAUUGGUGAAUGAAACUAACAUCACAUUGCUUAAGAUUUGUAGUUUUCUUAUAUGUGGUUAGGGGAAAGAAGCAGAUAAUGUGAGUCAGUGUGAUAAUUAAAUCAGACUUGUGCUUAAACAUAUGCAUGUGGAUUGACUAUUUGUAUCUGCAUACGCCCUCUUUGUCCACAUCAAACUAACUGAUGGCAGUUAGAUAUGUCUGUAGUGACUGAUUGCAGCAACUAGCCACUCGGCUGGGUGCGGGAGAAGAUCCUGUUCCUUACUCGAUACAACAAAGAGAUUCCAGGCGUUUCACACUUUUGGGUGAGGUUCCCGUUUAAUUAAUGUUCACAGAUGAUAUACAAUAGGAUAGCACUUAUCUUCCUGGUCUCCCUCUGGUGUGUCUGGCUUGCGGUGAAAACCGUGCGAUCUUCCCGUCACCCAUGCCUCAUUACCUGUCAGUUGCACCUGUGCCCCACAUAUUAAUUACCUGCCACAAUACUCCACACUGCCACCCGUGGUCAACCUGAUAUAGACUCCUAAUUCAAACAUAUAAUACACAGACAUAACUAAUGGCUCCUACAAUGUCACUCUGUAUUAAAUGAUUUCUUGCUACAGAAA